rnacentral:rRNA from 1 species
AUUGAACGCUGGCGGCAGGCCUAACACAUGCAAGUCGAACGAGUGGCGGACGGGUGAGUAAUGUCUGGGAAACUGCCCGAUGGAGGGGGAUAACUACUGGAAACGGUAGCUAAUACCGCAUACCAUCGGAUGUGCCCAGAUGGGAUUAGCUAGUAGGUGGGGUAACGGCUCACCUAGGCGACGAUCCCUAGCUGGUCUGAGAGGAUGACCAGCCACACUGGAACUGAGACACGGUCCAGACUCCUACGGGAGGCAGCAGGGGGGAAUAGUGCACAAGGGGCGCAAGCCGGAUGCAGCCAUGCCGCGUGGAUGAAGAAGGCCUUCGGGUUGUAAAGUACUUUCAGCGAGGAGGCGUUACCCGCAGAAGAAGCACCGGCUAACUCCGUGCCAGCAGCCGCGGUAAUAC